rnacentral:lncRNA from 12 species
AUGAUUCAUAUCCCCAGAUAUUCUCUGGCAUUCUCACUAUAUAGUUUCCUUUUUUUUUUUUUUUUUUUUUGUACUGUAUUGCUUUUUUUUUUUUUUUUCCCCCAGAAAGAGAAAAUCUUACUGGAGAAAACCAUGCCAAGCCUGAGAACAUUGAGUACCCAAGGCCAAGCUCAACAAGGGCAGAGAACUUUCCGGCAAGAAAUUAUCCCAUCUGUAACAAGGCCAGUCUCAUGGUCUACAGCUCACAAUUGGCAAGAAGAUAACAGGAUUGGGGAGAGGAGGUGGGAAACCUAUCCCCUGAUGGCACAGCAGAGACAGAGGAACUGGGGAUGUACCAGAAUGAUAACGAUCCUGAAAUGGCUCUUAGCUUCUCCAAUCUGCAAAACAGAGAAAGGGGGAAGGAAGAAGAUGAAUUGGCAUAUUGUGUGA